GGGUUGUGAGGUUAAGCGACUAAGCGUACACGGUGGAUGCCCUGGCAGUCAGAGGCGAUGAAGGGCGUGCUAAUCUGCGAUAAGCGCCGGUAAGGUGAUAUGAACCGUUAUAACCGGCGAUACCCGAAUGGGGAAACCCAGUGUGAUUCGUCACACUAUCAUUAACUGAAUCCAUAGGUUAAUGAGGCGAACCGGGGGAACUGAAACAUCUAAGUACCCCGAGGAAAAGAAAUCAACCGAGAUUCCCCCAGUAGCGGCGAGCGAACGGGGAGGAGCCCAGAGCCUGAAUCAGCAUGUGUGUUAGUGGAAGCGUCUGGAAAGGCGCGCGAUACAGGGUGACAGCCCCGUACACAAAAGCGCAUGUGCUGUGAGCUCGAUGAGUAGGGCGGGACACGUGGUAUCCUGUCUGAAUAUGGGGGGACCAUCCUCCAAGGCUAAAUACUCCUGACUGACCGAUAGUGAACCAGUACCGUGAGGGAAAGGCGAAAAGAACCCCGGCGAGGGGAGUGAAAAAGAACCUGAAACCGUGUACGUACAAGCAGUGGGAGCACAGGUUUACCUGUGUGACUGCGUACCUUUUGUAUAAUGGGUCAGCGACUUAUAUUCUGUAGCAAGGUUAACCGAAUAGGGGAGCCGGAGGGAAACCGAGUCUUAAUUGGGCGUUAAGUUGCAGGGUAUAGACCCGAAACCCGGUGAUCUAGCCAUGGGCAGGUUGAAGGUUGGGUAACACUAACUGGAGGACCGAACCGACUAAUGUUGAAAAAUUAGCGGAUGACCUGUGGCUGGGGGUGAAAGGCCAAUCAAACCGGGAGAUAGCUGGUUCUCCCCGAAAGCUAUUUAGGUAGCGCCUCGUGAAUUCAUCUCCGGGGGUAGAGCACUGUUUCGGCUAGGGGGCCAUCCCGGCUUACCAACCCGAUGCAAACUGCGAAUACCGGAGAAUGUUAUCACGGGAGACACACGGCGGGUGCUAACGUCCGUCGUGAAGAGGGAAACAACCCAGACCGCCAGCUAAGGUCCCAAAGUCAUGGUUAAGUGGGAAACGAUGUGGGAAGGCCCAGACAGCCAGGAUGUUGGCUUAGAAGCAGCCAUCAUUUAAAGAAAGCGUAAUAGCUCACUGGUCGAGUCGGCCUGCGCGGAAGAUGUAACGGGGCUAAACCAUGCACCGAAGCUGCGGCAGCGACGCUUAUGCGUUGUUGGGUAGGGGAGCGUUCUGUAAGCCUGUGAAGGUGGCCUGUGAGGGUUGCUGGAGGUAUCAGAAGUGCGAAUGCUGACAUAAGUAACGAUAAAGCGGGUGAAAAGCCCGCUCGCCGGAAGACCAAGGGUUCCUGUCCAACGUUAAUCGGGGCAGGGUGAGUCGACCCCUAAGGCGAGGCCGAAAGGCGUAGUCGAUGGGAAACGGGUUAAUAUUCCCGUACUUGGUGUUACUGCGAAGGGGGGACGGAGAAGGCUAUGUUGGCCGGGCGACGGUUGUCCCGGUUUAAGCGUGUAGGUGUGUGUUCCAGGUAAAUCCGGUUCACUUUAACACUGAGGCGUGAUGACGAGGCACUACGGUGCUGAAGUAACAAAUGCCCUGCUUCCAGGAAAAGCCUCUAAGCAUCAGGUAACAUCAAAUCGUACCCCAAACCGACACAGGUGGUCAGGUAGAGAAUACCAAGGCGCUUGAGAGAACUCGGGUGAAGGAACUAGGCAAAAUGGUGCCGUAACUUCGGGAGAAGGCACGCUGACACGUAGGUGAAGUGAUUUACUCAUGGAGCUGAAGUCAGUCGAAGAUACCAGCUGGCUGCAACUGUUUAUUAAAAACACAGCACUGUGCAAACACGAAAGUGGACGUAUACGGUGUGACGCCUGCCCGGUGCCGGAAGGUUAAUUGAUGGGGUCAGCGCAAGCGAAGCUCCUGAUCGAAGCCCCGGUAAACGGCGGCCGUAACUAUAACGGUCCUAAGGUAGCGAAAUUCCUUGUCGGGUAAGUUCCGACCUGCACGAAUGGCGUAAUGAUGGCCAGGCUGUCUCCACCCGAGACUCAGUGAAAUUGAACUCGCUGUGAAGAUGCAGUGUACCCGCGGCAAGACGGAAAGACCCCGUGAACCUUUACUAUAGCUUGACACUGAACAUUGAGCCUUGAUGUGUAGGAUAGGUGGGAGGCUUUGAAGCGUGGACGCCAGUCUGCGUGGAGCCGACCUUGAAAUACCACCCUUUAAUGUUUGAUGUUCUAACGUGGACCCGUGAUCCGGGUUGCGGACAGUGUCUGGUGGGUAGUUUGACUGGGGCGGUCUCCUCCUAAAGAGUAACGGAGGAGCACGAAGGUUGGCUAAUCCUGGUCGGACAUCAGGAGGUUAGUGCAAUGGCAUAAGCCAGCUUGACUGCGAGCGUGACGGCGCGAGCAGGUGCGAAAGCAGGUCAUAGUGAUCCGGUGGUUCUGAAUGGAAGGGCCAUCGCUCAACGGAUAAAAGGUACUCCGGGGAUAACAGGCUGAUACCGCCCAAGAGUUCAUAUCGACGGCGGUGUUUGGCACCUCGAUGUCGGCUCAUCACAUCCUGGGGCUGAAGUAGGUCCCAAGGGUAUGGCUGUUCGCCAUUUAAAGUGGUACGCGAGCUGGGUUUAGAACGUCGUGAGACAGUUCGGUCCCUAUCUGCCGUGGGCGCUGGAGAACUGAGGGGGGCUGCUCCUAGUACGAGAGGACCGGAGUGGACGCAUCACUGGUGUUCGGGUUGUCAUGCCAAUGGCACUGCCCGGUAGCUAAAUGCGGAAGAGAUAAGUGCUGAAAGCAUCUAAGCACGAAACUUGCCCCGAGAUGAGUUCUCCCUGAGACUUAGAGUCUCCUGAAGGAACGUUGAAGACGACGACGUUGAUAGGCCGGGUGUGUAAGCGCAGCGAUGCGUUGAGCUAACCGGUACUAAUGAACCGUGAGGCUUAACCUUACAACGCCGAAG
rnacentral:rRNA from 1 species